AUCAGGAUUCAAGUAAUUACCUAAUUCUAACACCUGUAAUCUCUCCACUGAUCUUUCCAUUGAUCCAGACAUUUCUGAAAUCUCUGAGACUUCACCAAAUCCAAGAUGUGAAGUGCCUAUCCUCCAGGCCCAUCAAGAUGCCUCACCCUACAGCUGGACGGAUUCUCCUAAGGCAACCUGAAGACACAGCACAAGAAUUGCACACCGCCUGCAACUAGAACCCAGCUGCUGGAGGACUGGUGCUUUAUCUUGUUCCCAGGUGUAAUCUCGCAGCUUUGACUAGC
rnacentral:lncRNA from 1 species